GUCGGAGUAUGGAAAUCCGAGAUAAAGAAAUGAAACGAACGAGCCUAUCUGUUUGGUUGGAACGUAAGAAUCGAAUUCGGGUCCAAGUGAGGGUGGUGUCCCUACUCGGAUUAGUGUACACAGGUGACCGUUGGAAGGUGGCCACCUUCCACGGCACAAAGAUGAUAUAGUGGAGGCCGUUGGGAGGUGGCCACCUCCCCGGCUGGAGAAAGAUGUAGGUGACCGUGGGAGAGCACCAUCUCCACGGCACUUGGUGUUCAGAUAUGGCAGAGGUACAAAAAGAACUUAGACUGAUCAGUCAAACUUUAGCUCACAAAGAAUUUAGUAAGCUCGGACCUUUUAAGAGAAAACUCUCGAGUGUUACAGUGAUGACAUGACAACAUUUUCAAUUUUAUGUAUGUAUAUUUCGGCAAUGU